UACGUAGGUGACAAGCGUUGUCCGGAUUUACUGGGCGUAAAGAGCGCGCAGGCGGUCGAUCAAGUCGAGUGUGAAAGCCCCCGGCUCAACUGGGGAGGGUCAUUCGAUACUGAUCGACUCGAAGGCAGGAGAGGGUAGUGGAAUUCCCGGUGUAGUGGUGAAAUGCGCAGAUAUCAGGAGGAACACCAAUUGCGAAGGCAGCUCGCUGGGACGUGACUGACGCUGAGACGCGAAAGCGUGGGGAGCAAACAGG
rnacentral:rRNA from 1 species